rnacentral:lncRNA from 1 species
GAGAAACUCUUCUUAUUAAUUCUUCAGAGAAUUCUUCUAUCAAGUUAUCUCUUUUCUCCUUCAGGAUCAAUCCUUAUAUAGGCAAGGAAAGGAGGAUGAGGACAAUAAAUGAGGGAACAUGGAGAGGGAAUAAAGGGAUAAAGGGGAGAGGAAAGAAAGCAAAAGAGUAAGUGUUCCCUCAUAAUUGAGGGAAUCAAUCACUUUACAAUACUUCCCCUGAUUCCCUACUAUAGAAGAUUAUGUCUCAUUAAAAACCUUGUUAAGAAAACCCAGUGGGAAAAACUUAACGAAGGAAAAAAGAGUACAUAUCUUUUACAUAAAUAUCUUAAUUGACUG